AGAAAAAAAAAAGUAUGCUGAGAUUGCUAAGAUCUACACCUAAUGAGGAGGUGACUAUCAUGAAGGUCUGGUGGUGAAGAUCUUGCAAGAAGGUGCCUUGUUUGAGAUCUUUCAAGGAAACACAGUACUCAAUAAAUGUGGUUCGGUGUACAGUUGAGCCUUGAGCAACAUGGAUUUGAACUGCAUGGGGCCACUUAAAUGUGCAUUUUCUUAUGACUCCGCUGCUCUUGAGACAGCAAGAUCAAGCCCCCUCCUCCUCAGCCAACUCAACGUGAAGACAAUGAAGAUCAAGAUCUUUAAGAUGAUCCACUUCCACUUAAUGAAUAAUAAAUAUAUUUUGUCGUUA
rnacentral:lncRNA from 10 species